CCUACGGGUGACAGCAGUGGGGAAUAUUGCACAAUGGGGGGAACCCUGAUGCAGCAACGCCGCGUGAAGGAAGACGGUUUUCGGAUUGUAAACUUCUAUCAAUAGGGAAGAAAGAAAUGACGAUACCUAAAUAAGAAGCCCCGGCUAACUACGUGCCAGCAGCCGCGGUAAUACGUAGGGGGCAAGCGUUAUCCGGAUUUACUGGGUGUAAAGGGAGCGUAGACGGCAGAGCAAGUCUGAAGUGAAAGCCCGCGGCCCAACUGCGGGACUGCUUUGGAAACUGCCCGGCUAGAGUGCUGGAGAGGUAAGCGGAAUUCCUAGUGUAGCGGUGAAAUGCGUAGAUAUUAGGAGGAACACCAGUGGCGAAGGCGGCUUACUGGACAGUAACUGACGUUGAGGCUCGAAAGCGUGGGGAGCAAACAGGAUUAGAUACCCCUGUAGUC
rnacentral:rRNA from 1 species